rnacentral:rRNA from 1 species
CCUACGGGAGGCAGCAGUCGAGAAUCAUUCACAAUGGGGGAAACCCUGAUGCUGCGACGCCGCGUGGGGGAUUGAAGGUCUUCGGAUUGUAAACCCCUGUCAUGUGGGAGCAAAUUAAAAAGUCAGACCCACAAGAGGAAGAGACGGCUAACUCGGUGCCAGCAGCAGCGGUAAUACGGAGGUCUCAAGCGUUAUUCGGAAUCACUGGGCGUAAAGUGUGCGUAGGCUGUAUAGUAAGUCGGGUGUGAAAGGCGCGGGCUCAACCCGCGAACGGCACAUGAUACUGCGAGACUAGAGUAAGGGAGAGGGAAGCGGAAUUCUCGGUGUAGGAGUGAAAUGCGUAGAGAUCGAGAGGAACACUCGUGGCGAAGGCGAGUUCCUGGACAAUAACUGACGCUGAGGCGCGAAGGCCAGGGGAGCGAAAGGGAUUAGAUACCCCAGUAGUC